rnacentral:tRNA from 1 species
GGCGCCGUGGCCAAGUGGUAAGGCGAGAGACUGCAAAUCUCUUAUUCGUCGGUUCGAUUCCGACCGGCGCCU